rnacentral:ncRNA from 1 species
AUAUAGACAUUGAAGAAAAGUAGUAGGUUUAGAGCUAUUUAAAGAGAACUGUUGGGUGGUGAAAAACAGUAUUAGCUAAAACUGAACUCGUUUCUGAGUUGUCAAAGUGAAAAUAGUAGCUUUGACCGGUUGCAAGCCGUUAUAUUUUAAAGUGGGAAGAUGAAAUCUUCCAAUUAGUGUGGUACCGCGGAGUAAACCUUUCGUCUCUAAU